CAUUAUCAAAAAAAUUCAUUUUUUUUGAAAUAUUUUUUCCAAUUUCCUCUGUGUACCUAUUCCAUGUUGCUUCCACUAGACUGGUAUCCAUUAUAUUGAAUAUUAAUAUCAUUAGUAUUCUACUAUUGUAUACCCUUCAUCCAUCUUAUAACAAGUGGUUGAUGUAGUGUCGGUGGGUAGCCUUUAUUUAUAAAAAAACUUGAUUUAAAUCUAGUCUGAUAUAUAAAGAUAAUAUAUAAAUAAAAAAAACUUUCAACAACGGAUCUCUAGGCUCUUGCAUCGAUGAAGAACGCAGUGAAAUGUGAUAAGUAAUGUGAAUUGCAGAAUCUCGUGAAUCAUCGAAUCUUUGAACGCACAUUGCGCCCUAUGGUAAUCCAUUGGGCAUACCUGUUUGAGUGUCAGAAUCCUACGACUGAUCAAACUUUUAUAUAUGUUAUUUGAUAUAUAUGAAGAUGUUUGGAAAAAACUUUGAGAAAAGUAGAAUUAGUAUUAUAAGGUUACUUUCUUAAAAAUAAGAUUUAUAUUGUUUGGAUUUUCUUCAAAACUCAUUUUGUAUGAAAUAUAGCAAAUGGGUGAGGACAAAAAUCAAUACUUUUGGAUGACCUCAAAUCAGGUAGGGAUACCCGCUGAACUUAAGCAUAUCAAUAAGC
rnacentral:rRNA from 1 species